UACGAAGGGGGCUAGCGUUGCUCGGAAUUACUGGGCGUAAAGCGUGCGCAGGCGGCUUUGCAAGACAGAUGUGAAAUCCCCGGGCUUAACCUGGGAACUGCAUUUGUGACUGCAUGGCUAGAGUGCGGCAGAGGGGGAUGGAAUUCCGCGUGUAGCAGUGAAAUGCGUAGAUAUGCGGAGGAACACCGAUGGCGAAGGCAAUCCCCUGGGCCUGCACUGACGCUCAUGCACGAAAGCGUGGGGAGCAAACAGG
rnacentral:rRNA from 1 species